rnacentral:rRNA from 1 species
UACGAGUACCCCAAGCGUUAUCCGGAAUCACUGGGCGUAAAGGGCGUGUAGGCGGUCAGGUAAGUGGGAUGUGAAAUGCCCCGGCUCACCCGGGGACCGGCAUCCCAUACUGCUUGGCUUGAGUACGGGAGAGGAUGUGGGAAUUCCUGGUGUAGCGGUGAAAUGCGUAGAUAUCAGGAGGAACACCGGUGGCGAAGGCGCACAUCUGGCCCGAUACUGACGCUGAGGCGCGAAAGCUAGGGGAGCAAACGGG